GCCGCGGUAAUACGGAGGGGGUUAGCGUUGUUCGGAAUUACUGGGCGUAAAGCGCACGUAGGCGGAUUAAUAAGUUAGAGGUGAAAUCCCAGGGCUCAACCCUGGAACUGCCUUUAAUACUGCUAGUCUUGAGUUCGAGAGAGGUGAGUGGAAUUCCGAGUGUAGAGGUGAAAUUCGUAGAUAUUCGGAGGAACACCAGUGGCGAAGGCGGCUUACUGGCUCGAUACUGACGCUGAGGUGCGAAAGUGUGGGGAGCAAACAGGAUUAGAUACCCUGGUAGUCCACACCGUAAACGAUGAAUGCCAGACGUCAGCAAGUAUGCUUGUUGGUGUCACACCUAACGGAUUAAGCAUUCCGCCUGGGGAGUACGGUCGCAAGAUUAAAACUCAAAGGAAUUGACGG
rnacentral:rRNA from 1 species